rnacentral:rRNA from 1 species
AAAAAAGGUAAGCUACUAAGAGCGAAUGGUGGAUGCCUUGACUGGUAAAGGCGAUGAAGGACGUACUAGACUGCGAUAAGCUACGGGGAGCUGUCAAGAAGCUUUGAUCCGUAGAUUUCCGAAUGGGGCAACCCAAUGUAUAGAGAUAUACAUUACCUAUAUAGGAGCGAACGAGGGGAAUUGAAACAUCUUAGUACCCUCAGGAAAAGAAAUCAAUAGAGAUUGCGUCAGUAGCGGCGAGCGAAAGCGCAAGAGGGCAAACCCAGUGCUUGCACUGGGGGUUGUAGGACUGCAAUGUGCAAGAGCUGAGUUUAGCAGAACAUUCUGGAAAGUAUAGCCAUAGAGGGUGAUAGUCCCGUAUGCGAAAAACAAAGCUUAGCUAGCAGUAUCCUGAGUAGGGCGGGACACGAGGAAUCCUGUCUGAAUCCGGGUCGACCACGAUCCAACCCUAAAUACUAAUACCAGAUCGAUAGUGCACAAGUACCGUGAGGGAAAGGUGAAAAGAACUGAGGUGAUCAGAGUGAAAUAGAACCUGAAACCAUUUGCUUACAAUCAUUCAGAGCACUAUGUAGCAAUACAGUGUGAUGGACUGCCUUUUGCAUAAUGAGCCUGCGAGUUGUGGUGUCUGGCAAGGUUAAGCAAACGCGAAGCCGUAGCGAAAGCGAGUCUGAAUAGGGCGCUUAGUCAGAUGCUGCAGACCCGAAACGAAGUGAUCUAUCCAUGAGCAAGUUGAAGCUAGUGUAAGAACUAGUGGAGGACUGAACCCAUAGGCGUUGAAAAGCCCCGGGAUGACUUGUGGAUAGGGGUGAAAGGCCAAUCAAACUUCGUGAUAGCUGGUUCUCUCCGAAAUAUAUUUAGGUAUAGCGUUGUGUCGUAAUAUAAGGGGGUAGAGCACUGAAUGGGCUAGGGCAUACACCAAUGUACCAAACCCUAUCAAACUCCGAAUACCUUAUAUGUAAUCACAGCAGUCAGGCGGCGAGUGAUAAAAUCCGUCGUCAAGAGGGAAACAACCCAGACUACCAGCUAAGGUCCCUAAAUCUUACUUAAGUGGAAAACGAUGUGAAGUUACUUAAACAACCAGGAGGUUGGCUUAGAAGCAGCCAUCCUUUAAAGAAAGCGUAAUAGCUCACUGGUCUAGUGAUUUUGCGCGGAAAAUAUAACGGGGCUAAAGUAAGUACCGAAGCUGUAGACUUGCGCACAACUUAGAUUAUUUAAGUUUAGAAUAUGAGAAACUAAGUUAUGUUUAGUUAUAUUUUUACUGAUUUUUAUAGAGUAAAGAUAGAAAUAAAACUUAGUAAAAUCAGUAAAAAUAUUCUUAGGCUAAAGUUAAGUAGUUUAAGUUGUGUGCAAGUGGUAGGAGAGCGUUCUAUUUGCGUCGAAGGUAUACCGGUAAGGAGUGCUGGAGCGAAUAGAAGUGAGCAUGCAGGCAUGAGUAGCGAUAAUUAAUGUGAGAAUCAUUAACGCCGUAAACCCAAGGUUUCCUACGCGAUGCUCGUCAUCGUAGGGUUAGUCGGGUCCUAAGUCGAGUCCGAAAGGGGUAGACGAUGGCAAAUUGGUUAAUAUUCCAAUACCAACAUUAGUGUGCGAUGGAAGGACGCUUAGGGCUAAGGGGGCUAGCGGAUGGAAGUGCUAGUCUAAGGUCGUAGGAGGUUAUACAGGCAA